rnacentral:rRNA from 1 species
UACGUAGGGGGCAAGCGUUGUCCGGAUUUAUUGGGCGUAAAGAGCGUGUAGGCGGCCUGGUAGGUCAGCUGUGAAAACUCGAGGCUCAACCUCGAGACGCCGGUUGAAACCAUCAGGCUAGAGUCCGGGAGAGGAGAGUGGAAUUCCCGGUGUAGCGGUGAAAUGCGCAGAUAUCGGGAAGAACACCGGUGGCGAAGGCGGCAUCCUGGACCAACACUGACGCUGAGUGAGCGAAAGCCAGGGGAGCAAACGGGG